UCGAAUUGAAAACAAAAAAUAUGUAUUUUUUUCGGACUGAUGUGUCAAAUGUGAUAAAAUAACUACUAAGAUCAAUCCAGAUUUUGAACUGGCACUAAUCAAAAGUUGAAGCACUGAAAACUCCUACAUUCUCUCAAUACUACGGUUUCGAAAAAUUUAAAGAUGGGCCAUCAUAUCAUUCCUCCAAUGGCUUUGAUAUUAUGAGAUAACAUCAAGAGCCAAAAUCACCCGGGCCACCCACGUGCAUUUUUUUGAGGUUCCAACUUCGAGUGACAAUAAUAAUAGUAAUAAAGUAUUAAAUUUUUUCAAAUAAUUUU